rnacentral:rRNA from 1 species
AGUGAACGCUGGCGGCGUGCUUAACACAUGCAAGUCGAACGAGAACGGAUUAUAGCUUGCUAUAAUUGUCAGCUAAGUGGCGCACGGGUGAGUAAUGUAUAGGUAAUAUGCCUCUUACUAAGGGAUAACAAAUGGAAACGUUUGCUAAUACCUUAUACUCCUUAUUAACAGAAGUUAAUAAGGGAAAGAUUUAUUGGUAAGAGAUUAGCCUGUAUUGUAUCAGUUAGUUGGUGGGGUAAUGGCCUACCAAGACUAUGACACAUAACUGGUUUGGGAGGGUGUUCAGUCACACUAGAACUGAGACACGGUCCAGACUCCUACGGGAGGCAGCAGUGGGGAAUAUUGCACAAUGGACGAAAGUCUGAUGCAGCAACGCCGCGUGGAGGAUGACACAUUUCGGUGCGUAAACUCCUUUUAUAUGAGAAGAUAAUGACGGUAUUAUAUGAAUAAGCACCGGCUAACUCCGUGCCAGCCACCGCCGUAA